rnacentral:rRNA from 1 species
GAUGAACGCUGACAGAAUGCUUAACACAUGCAAGUCGAUUCGAUUUACCUUCGGGUAUUGAGGAUGGCGGACGGGUGAGUAACGCGUAAGGAACUUGCCUCUUGGUCUGGGACAACUGUAGGAAACGACAGCUAAUACCGGAUAUUAUGAGAUUCUCGCAUGGGAAACUUAUGAAAGCUAUAUGCGCCAAGAGAGAGCCUUGCGUUCCAUUAGCUAGUUGGUGGGGUAACGGCCCACCAAGGCGACGAUGGAUAGCCGGCCUGAGAGGGUGAACGGCCACAAGGGGACUGAGACACGGCCCUUACUCCUACGGGAGGCAGCAGUGGGGAAUAUUGGACAAUGGGCCACAAGCCUGAUCCAGCAAUUCUGUGUGCACGAUGAAGGUCUUCGGAUUGUAAAGUGCUUUCAGUUGGGAAGAAGAAAGUGACGGUACCAACAGAAGAAGCGACGGCUAAAUACGUGCCAGCCGCCGCGGUAAUAC